CAAAGCGUAGUUUAACUAAAGCAUCUCGCUUACACCGAGAACAUAUCUGUUAAAACCAGAUCGCCUUGA
rnacentral:tRNA from 1 species